rnacentral:rRNA from 1 species
GAUGAACGCUGGCGGCGUGCCUAAUACAUGCAAGUCGAGCGAACAGACGAGUAGCUUGCUCCUCUGACGUUAGCGGCGGACGGGUGAGUAACACGUGGAUAACCUACCUAUAAGACUGGGAUAACUUCGGGAAACCGGAGCUAAUACCGGAUAAUAUAUUGAACCGCAUGGUUCAAUAGUGAAAGACGGUUUUGCUGUCACUUAUAGAUGGAUCCGCGCCGCAUUAGCUAGUUGGUAAGGUAACGGCUUACCAAGGCAACGAUGCGUAGCCGACCUGAGAGGGUGAUCGGCCACACUGGAACUGAGACACGGUCCAGACUCCUACGGGAGGCAGCAGUAGGGAAUCUUCCGCAAUGGGCGAAAGCCUGACGGAGAAACGCCGCGUGAGUGAUGAAGGUCUUCGGAUCGUAAAACUCUGUUAUUAGGGAAGAACAAAUGUGUAAGUAACUAUGCACGUCUUGACGGUACCUAAUCAGAAAGCCACGGCUAACUACGUG